AUUUCUUCAAAAUUGUCUUAAAUAUUAUUUCACCCACAAGUACCAAGACGCCUAUCAGGUGCAUUACCAGCAGACCAAUAAAAACCAGACUUCUUCUUGUGAAUCGAAAAUUCCCAAAAAAUCCAUCAUCCACUUCUUGAGAAUACCAGCCGAAUUCAAAUUAUCCACAAUUCGAUUAAAAGGCUCCAACAAAUAGGACUGAGGUCGUGUAUAGGCACAAACUUGAUUCAGCACCACGAUGCCAGAUGAAAGGCUGCAUACAACUUGCCCUGAAAUGAACCAUUAAUAACCAUGAAGGCAAAUGCUAUGAGCAUCACAAAAUAUCGGGUGCUUUGGAAUUGGUAUUGGAUAUUGCGAGAAUUGCCCAAUGCCAAGCCGAGUAUAUCCAACCAGCGUCAAUGCGAAUAUGUAUAAUAACCAGACGCGAGGACCGAAAGGUGCCAACAGCCACUCGCCAUCAAGUUGCCACCUUUUCGUAGUGACCACCACUGUGGGCGUAAGAAAGUACACCGAACUUGAGCCAAA